UGCCAAGGAAGGAGGCCUGGAACAAAUUCCCCUUCACAGCACUCAGAAGAAACCAGCCCUGCUGACACUUCGAGUUCAGACUUUUAGCUUCCAGAACUGUGAGACUAUACGGUUUUGUUGUUUAAGACCCCCGGUUUGUAGUACUUUGUUACAGCAGUCCUAGCCAAUGAAUACAGGUAACUUUGGGCUACUUCAUGAUGGCCCAGAUGUCUCUGAUCCUGUAGUGUGGUGCCCUAGCCUGGUCAACGCUUGGAGUUUUAUAACCCUCCAUAGCUUCAGUUUCUUCAUCUAUAAAAUAAUCAUGGAGCGUCUACUAGGUCUUGCAAUUAAUCUGGUAAAACCUUUUUCUUCAACAAACACCAA
rnacentral:lncRNA from 10 species